rfam:Salmo salar isolate Sally breed double haploid chromosome ssa22, whole genome shotgun sequence.
CGCAUUCACUACUGUAAGUCGCUCUGGAUAAGAGCGUCUGCUAAAUGACUCAAA